rnacentral:lncRNA from 1 species
CAAGUCAAAUUUUAUGUAUCAGUGGGUGAAAAGUGGACAAAUCAGGUCAUGAAAUUUUAUAAUAGUAAAGUCAUUCAUAUUCUGGUAACCAUCUUGUGUGCAUGCUAGCAAAGCAUUAACAAGUCAUAUAAUUAAAUCUUAGCCCCUAUAAACUCUUCGUAGGAUCAACUAGCUAGCUAAGGGAAAACUGUAUCUGUAUAGUACAAAGUGCCAAACUGUAUGGCCUGGGGGCCGAAUGCUGUGCCUGUAUGGCUAAAAAGCCGGAAAACUGUAUGACACGUAAUGUGUCGAAAAUAUCAUAUCAUGUAGCCCAUUAGGGCGCAGUACUGCUAAACUGUAUAUGGCAUGUCAUACCCUUAUGCUAUCUAUGACUCCCACUGAGGUUUACUAGGGCCAAGAAUGCAUAUUUUCAUGUUAAAUAUUUCUUGGUACUAAAAUUAUUCAUUUAGAUGCUUAACAUAUUGAAACAAGCAAAUAUGUCGAACUAUAUAUUCAUAAGCAAGCAUAUCGAUAAAAAGAGUCCUUAAGAGCAUUCAUAUGUGUGUCAUAGACCAUAUUCACUCAUGAGCAUAUUAUUCAGCCACAAACAUAUUACUAUUUCAUCAAGAACAUGUGUGUAAAGUUUUAGUCUAUUAAGUUAGCACGUGUAUAAAGCAGGCAUGUUAAGCUAGCAUGUGCGUAAUUUGGCCGCUAAGCUAGCAUGUCAAUCCCUUUUAGGUCAACAUUUACAUUUAGCUUUGUUUCUGCCUAAGAUUGUAUCACAUUUUUAAGUGUCUUAUGGACAUAAUUAGACCCACUUUUCUCAUGAACUUUGUGUAUCUAUGUCUUAGCUUUCUAACAAGAUGUAUUACAUCUAAUUCU